UCGCCCCACCGGGGCCUACAAAAGCCCACUGAUGGCGGCCCCUUCCGAGGCGUAUGGCCGUAUUUACAUUUACAAAGAGGCAGCCGAUGGGGCCCCGGGGGCUGAAUUGCGGCCCCUUCGCACACACACACCAGCCCCGUGCCCCACGAAGGCCGGCUCGGCUCACCAGGGGCAACCACCGGCGGCGCUCCAAGGCCCAACGGCCCCUCAAGGGAGCCGCGGAGAAGGCAGCGUGGGGGGAGCACUGCUGGACCGCCCCACUCCUCACUGCCGGCUCCGGGCCGGGAGAAGGCGGGGAAGGGAAGAAGAGAAAGGAGGGGAAGGGAGGCGAGGGGCAGGGCCUGCCGUGAGGGCGGAGCGGGCGGCCGGGGGCUGCCCGAGCAACAGCUGCGGCGGGAGCGGUUUACAAACAGUGCCCCGAACGCCAGCACCGCCGCCGAGUCCGGGCUCCGGCGGCACCGCGGGCGGCCGCCCCCGCUCCCCUCCGUCCCUCUUUGCCCCCACCUCAGGAUGCCGGCCGGGGAGGCGGCUCAGGCGCAGCCUCCCUCCGGUGCCUCCCAGCCUUGCCCGGCUCCUUCCUUCGCCCGCUCGGGGUCGCCUCCCCUCUGCGCCCCCCGCGGCCAGGAGGUGUCCCCAGGUCCCGCUGCGGCCCCUGCCCCUUCCCUUGCUGCCUCCCCGGGGCUCUCCCAGCGCCCAGGCGGGGCUCGGGGGGAGCAGGGGGCACCCGCUUCUUUGUGAGCCCGAGAUGGUCCUGGAGGAAGGAUUUGGAGAAGGGAAAGCUUUUUGAAUACUUCAGCUUCAGACUUUUGUGAUAGCUUCUCCACCUGCCUCUUAGGGCUGAGUGAAAGCCAGAAAGUCAGAGGUGCUGGAGUUCUUUGUGGCACUGAACUUGUCCUUGAGUAUAUUUUGCUCAAUGCAACUAUUUGAAAUGUUUGUACAGAAAAACUAAGUGCAACUGACUGUUUCUACAGACUUGAAAAAUCAGAAGAAAUAGUUCAAGAAACCUCAUUCAGUCACUGAGAGAACCAAUGGAUACACGUUCAGUGAUGUCUGAACACGGACAAAAAUGAAAAAGAAAUAAUCUUUUGCUUGUGGAAAACAAUUUUUUUUCCUGGCAGAGGUUUUUUAGCUUAGCAGACUUGCAAGCACAUGUUGGAGAACUUUACAAGUGUCCUUAUUGUGAUCAGUGAACAU